rnacentral:lncRNA from 1 species
AUGGUUUCAUAUUCAUUGAUAUUGGAGUAGGUCUUCGCAAUCAGGCCGAGUAUGAUAUAUUAAAUGUCGUGGGUAUGAUGUUUUGUGAGUCAGUUGUGUUUUGAGUAUUUAUAUACGAGUGUACAGUGCUAAAUAUUCAGAUUAUAGAUACAUGACUCAUGAAUUUGUUUGAGAUAUUAACAUGUUAUGAAAAUUGACCAAGUGGGUGUAGCAAGUAGAAGAUAAAAAAUUCAAUAUUUUUGCAAGCUCGAUGUAUCUUGCCGUUUGCGAUGGGGAUUAUUCAUCGUGUUAGGAGCAUUUCAUUCCAAGACACUCCAAUAUUUCAUUUGUGAAACUUAGCCAAAUUAUACGACAUAAUAUUCACAAAAACUAGAAGAAAAAAAUAUACAUCACAAGAGAAACAUAUACCAUACUACAUAUACCAUAUGUAGCGAAGCUAUUGUUAUCCAUAUCUUCUAAAAAGAACAAAGACACAACAUUUGCAUGAUUUUAUUUGUAAAACAAAGCGUGAGAAAAUAAUAUUAUAACUAACUUGAAAAUAGACUUUAUUUUACAAUAAUAAAAUUACUGACAUUAAAUUAAUAUAAAAUUAUUUUUUAACUUAAACGCCAUAAUUACAUGUACAACAAUUCGAACGACACACUCCAAUUCCACCAGGGCCACAUGAAGAAGAUGGGCAUUCAGGGUUUGAAUAGCACACGACGGUUGUAAAACAACCGUAACUUACGAGAAAUUGAAAAAAGAAGAGGAUAAUACCUACAACAAAUAAGAGAGUUUUAUACAUUUUUUCCUACUUUAUAUGUAACAAACAAAAAAUUAUUGAUCACUUUAUAAAGUAAAAAUUCCAUUAUCAAUGGCCUACAAUUAAAUAGUUUUUAGCUCUACCAGAGUAGCAAAGAAACCUUUUCUAUAACUAUAAUAAUAAAAUGACUAGUAAGUAUAUUGAAAUAUUCUUACUAUCUCUUAAACGUUCAAUUUAAUCACUUGAUCUUGGCUACUUUAAUGUGCCAUAAUUGUUUCAAUAUUUCAUUAUUUUUUAUUUCUAUGUUAACCUUUCACAAUUUACAAGGGAAAUAUAAUACCAAAGGAACAACAAAAAGCUUUGAAAGUACACAAAGUUACUUGUAAGAAUUAAUUAAUAAUAUUGUUAUCUAAAUUAAAAUUUAGAAUGACACAUGAUGCUUAUCAAACAACCAUCACUUACGAGAAAUUAGGAAAAGAAGAGGAUAAUACCUGUAACAAAUAAGAGAGUUUUAGACAUUUUUCCCUCCUUUAUAUUGUAAGAAACAAAACAUUAUUGAUAUAUUAAAAUAUUAUAUUUAUCUCUUUAACAUUCAAUUUAAUCACUUUAUCUUAAUUACUUUAAUGUGCCAUCAUUGUUUCAAUAUUUCUUUAUUUUUUAUUUCUAUGUUAACCUUUCACAAUAUACAAGGGCAACAUAAUACCAAAGGAACAACUAAAAGUUUUGAAAGUACAAAAAUUUACUUAUUAGAAUGAAUUAAUAAUAUUGUUGUCUAAAUUAAAAUUUAGAAUGACACAUGAUGCUUAUCAAACAACCGUAACUUACUAGAAAUUAGGAAAGGAAGAGGAUAAUAGCCGUAACAAAUAAGAGAGUUUUAGACAUUUUUUUCCUCUUUUAUAAGUAAGAAACAAAAAAUUAUUGAUCACUUUAUAAAGUAAAAAUUCCAUUAUCAGUAUUCUACAAUUAAAUGGUUUUUAGCUUUAACAGCAUAGCAAAGAAACCUGUCACAAAACUAUAGUCAUAAU